AGAGUUUGAUCAUGGCUCAGGACGAACGCUGGCGGCGCGCCUAACACAUGCAAGUCGAACGGAGUCAAGAGGAGCUUGCUUUUCUUGACUUAGUGGCGAACGGGUGAGUAACGCGUGAGUAACCUGCCCUGGAGUGGGGGACAACAGUUGGAACCGACUAGCUAAUACCGCAUAAGCCCACGGAUUCGCAUGGAUCUGCGGGAAAAGGAUUUAUUCGCUUCAGGAUGGACUCGGCGUCCAAUUAGCUAGUUGGUGAGGUAACGGCCCGACCAAGGCGACGAUUGGUAGCCGGACUGGAGAGGUUGAACGGCCACCAUUGGGACUGAGACACGGCCCAGACUCCUACGGGAGGCAGCA
rnacentral:rRNA from 1 species